rnacentral:rRNA from 1 species
AGAUUGAACGCUAGCGGGAUGCUUUACACAUGCAAGUCGAACGGCAGCGCGGACUUCGGUCUGGCGGCGAGUGGCGAACGGGUGAGUAAUAUAUCGGAACGUGCCCAGUAGCGGGGGAUAACUACGCGAAAGCGUGGCUAAUACCGCAUACGCCCUACGGGGGAAAGGGGGGGAUUCUUCGGAACCUCUCACUAUUGGAGCGGCCGAUAUCAGAUUAGCUAGUUGGUGAGGUAAAGGCUCACCAAGGCGACGAUCUGUAGCUGGUUUGAGAGGACGACCAGCCACACUGGGACUGAGACACGGCCCAGACUCCUACGGGAGCAGCAGUGGGAAUUUGGACAAGUGGGGAACCCUGAUCCAGCCAUCCCGCGUGUGCGAUGAACGGUCCUUCGGGUUAGUAACGUCUACGUUUGACGAGGAAGAACGGCGUACCCGUUAACGUACGGGUCGUACGAC